AAUCCGACCUGCGAAAAGCAGCAAUACGCAACACAGAGUCUGCCCGAAAUGUACAUGAAGAAUAAGAUAUCGCCACAGAUAGAACAAUGAGACAGAUAUUUCACCGGAUGUAAAAAUGUGAAGCAUCUGCUUUGCGUUUCCACAAGCCCAUUGGCCGGCAGUGGGAGAAGAUGGAACGAGAUGGAUUUUGGUCGAAAUUCUGCACAUUUCCUCAUCGAUGAAAUAUUUGAUUUCGAUACAGUUUUCUGUUCCGAAAACUAGAAUAUGUUAUGAACAGAGUGGACUAAGUUGUGUAGACUUGACCCUUUGCAACGUUUUUAAAAAUCGCGUUGUUUAGAAAGAGUGAGUUAUUGCACACGCGCACUUCACAGAGUAGGCGUUCCCUAAAGGAAAUCUGCAGAUGCGUGCUAGAACGCGCCAAUAGGAUCUCGCUAGCUCAUGCUUGGCUCUGGUCAACUCUCUUUCCUUGUUCUGCCCUCUAUUACUCAUUUGUUCCCGUUGGAAACGACAGGCUGUGGUAUAUCUUAGUUUAGUUGUAAAGAUCUUCGACGUCACAUUUGCACGGUGGUAUCACAUAUACAUCUUUGGUGGUAGUGGGAGAACAGGAAGUUCCGGGCAGGCGCCUUAACUGUGUUGUCAAGACGAUAACUUUUGUGUCGGUUUCAAAUGUAUUACUACUGGUAUGUAAUAGCACAUUUAAACGUUCUAAUAUCAAAAGAACAUGUCAUAACAUGCUAGGUAACAAAUAACUUGAAGUUGUAUCACGUUUGGUAAAGGUUUUAUGUGCUAUUUUUGUGUCAAGCCGAGUGAGUGAAGAACGUGAUCAAAUCUAUUUUUCAAGUCACAUAAACUAGAGACUGGGUUUGUCUGAGUGACUGUACAUCAUUUCGUAAAAGUAAUUUAAUAGAAAAUACAAGUAUUUGAUAUUUCUGAGUGCGUUUGACAUAUUGGUUUUGUGUAAAAUUCACAAGCUGGUAAAAUGGUGGCGCCCACUCGGUCUGCUUCAACGGACUUCGGUGCAGGCAGUGCUCGUGCAUCCGAGAGAGACAAAUUCACAGCUACACUACUGGUUUGAAGAUGAAUGCCGACUCCGAUUAAGUCUGAGGCCGGUAUCAUCAACAGUGAGAACAAACCCAUCCUGCCUCUCUCCCUCCACACUGAGUAGAAACCUACAGUUGCUGAGUCCUGAUUGUGAGAGUGGGGUCCAGUUUGCACUGUAGGAUCCAGAGAUGGCAUCAGUGAAGCUGGAAGACUGCAGUCAAACACUGGAGCUGAAUGUCAACAUUAAAGAUGAAGAAGAGGAGGAGAAGAUUGGGAAAUCUGUUUCUCAUGGACUGGGAUCCAAUCCGGGGUUGACAGAUUAACAGUGAGGACAAACCUAGCCUGCCUUUCUCCUUUCACACCGAGUCCAAACCUACAGUUACUGGGUCCUGAUUGUGACAUUGGAGCCCAGUUUGCACCGCAAGAUCCAAAGAUGUCAUCAGUGAAGCUGGAAGACUGCAGUCAAACACUGGAGCUGAACGUCAACAUUAAAGAUGAAGAAGAGGAUGAGAAGAUUGGGAAAUGUGUUAAUCAUGGUAAAAGCAGGCUCUAUCUUCGUAAAUUAGACCUCCAUAAUUUAUGACCCAGUCUAAUGCUAGGUUAAAUUCUGCUUCUGUCGUGUGGGCGAGCGGUUUGCUGAUGUUAAUAACGUUGUGAACAGAGUGCCCCAUGGUGGUGUUAUGUUAUGGGCAGGCAUAAACUACGGUCA